rnacentral:rRNA from 1 species
UACGAAGGGGCUAGCGUUGCUCGGAAUCACUGGGCGUAAAGCGCACGUAGGCGGAUUGUUAAGUCAGGGGUGAAAUCCUGGAGCUCAACUCCAGAACUGCCUUUGAUACUGGCGAUCUUGAGUCCGGGAGAGGUGAGUGGAACUGCGAGUGUAGAGGUGAAAUUCGUAGAUAUUCGCAAGAACGCCAGUGGCGAAGGCGGCUCACUGGGCCGGAACUGACGCUGAGGAG